AUGACACCACCUGUGAAGAACAGGAACCCCAGAUCAAAUUCUUCGUAUGGACCAAAUUCUUCAUAUGGAUCCAAGUCCUUAUAUGGACCAAAUUCUUCACAUCGAUCAAAUUCCUCAACUGGAUCAAAGUCCUCAUAUGAUUAUCAUCGUGCUAACAACUCUGUCUCGCAGGGUAGAGCUAAGGGCUAUGAAUAUGUGCAUUAUUCUUCAAACCAUUAUGUUCAUAAGUCCUCGAAGAAUUACUCUGCUUAUUCAUAUGCUUACCUUAACCCCUCUUAUGUGAAGAGAAAUGGUUUGGCAUCUUUGCCACCUUUCUCACAUGGUGCUCGCAGGAUGGUGAACUCUUUGCCACCCCUCCAGAUGUGGGUGGUGAAGAAAAAGAACUAA
rnacentral:rRNA from 1 species